UGCCGGCUGUCCAAAUGCCGGGGUUACUGAAGAGGCACACCCUCAUUGCCGAAAGUGCGGUUGGGAUACCCCCAUCCAAUCCAAGGCAGACAAAGUCCGAAUCAUCGCCCGGGCGGGCGCUGGUUCAGCCAUUGCGUCGCAAGUCUUGCGGAACCGC
rnacentral:ncRNA from 1 species